AGAGUUUGAUCCUGGCUCAGAGCGAACGCUGGCGGCAGGCCUAACACAUGCAAGUCGAGCGGUCAUAGCAAUACGGCAGCGGCAGACGGGAGAGUAACACGUGGGAACGCGCCCUUCGGUUCGGAAUAACUCAGGGAAACUUGGGCUAAUACCGGAUACGCCCUUACGGGGAAAGAUUUAUUGCCGAAGGAACGGCCCGCGUCCGAUUAGCUUGUUGGUGAGGUAAUGGCUCACCAAGGCGACGAUCGGUAGCUGGUCUGAGAGGAUGACCAGCCUCACUGGGACUGAGACACGGCCCAGACUCCUACGGGAGGCAGCAGUGGGGAAUAUUGGACAAUGGGCGCAAGCCUGAUCCAGCCAUGCCGCGUGGGUGAUGAAGGCCCUAGGGUUGUAAAGCCCUUUCGGCGGGGAAGAUAAUGACGGUACCCGCAGAAGAAGCCCCGGCUAACUUCGUGCCAGCAGCCGCGGUAAUACGAAGGGGGCUAGCGUUGCUCGGAAUUACUGGGCGUAAAGCGCACGUAGGCGGCUUUCUAAGUCGGGGGUGAAAUCCUGGAGCUCAACUCCAGAACUGCCUUCGAUACUGGAGAGCUUGAGUCCGGGAGAGGUGAGUGGAACUGCGAGUGUAGAGGUGAAAUUCGUAGAUAUUCGCAAGAACACCAGUGGCGAAGGCGGCUCACUGG
rnacentral:rRNA from 1 species